UACAGAGGUCUCAAGCGUUUGUUCGGAUUCAUUGGGCGUAAAGGGUGCGUAGGUGGCGUGGUAAGUCGGGUGUGAAAUUUCGGAGCUUAACUCCGAAACUGCAUUCGAUACUGCCGUGCUUGAGGACUGGAGAGGAGACUGGAAUUUACGGUGUAGCAGUGAAAUGCGUAGAUAUCGUAAGGAAGACCAGUGGCGAAGGCGGGUCUCUGGACAGUUCCUGACACUGAGGCACGAAGGCCAGGGGAGCAAACGGG
rnacentral:rRNA from 1 species